AGCCGGCGUCGAUGACGUCAUUUCUGAUCGGAGGCAAGAUGGCGCUGAAGACGUGCACGAGGUGUUGAAUAAUGCUACAGAGCUGCGCAAAAAAUGGACAUUUUUGGCGGGUUUUAAUGGAUCCGCUACGUUCAGAUUCAGAUUCAACUUUAAUUGUCGUUGUCAGUGUACAGUACAGAGACAACGAAAUUCGGUUAGCAUCUCCGUGGAAGAUGGAGUUGGAAACGAUGGAAAUAGUCAUCAAGAGGCAGUGAGCAGCAGAACACAACAAGACGCAACAAGACACAACAAUAAAUAGUCAUCAAGACGCAGUGAACAGCAGAACACAACAAGACGCAAUAAGACACUACAAGUAAAAACUUAAUAAAUCUCAUCUUUAAAAUUUAAAUUGUUCUUAUAUUUUAAGAGUCAUUCACAUUUUAAACUUUAAUAAAACCUUUUUGCACUUUUAA